GAUAAGGUGACCAAGUGGUUAAGGUGAUGAACUACUAAUCUAUUGUGCUCUGCACACAUGGGUUCAAAUCCCAUUCUUGUCA